GGGCAGUGGCGGCUGCUUACACAUGCAGUCGAACGAUGAUGCCCAGCUUGCUGGGUGGAUUAGUGGCGAACGGGUGAGUAACACGUGAGUAACCUGCCCUUGACUUCGGGAUAACUCCGGGAAACCGGGGCUAAUACCGGAUAUGAGCCGCCCUCGCAUGGGGGUGGUUGGAAAGUUUUUCGGUCAGGGAUGGGCUCGCGGCCUAUCAGCUUGUUGGUGGGGUGAUGGCCUACCAAGGCGACGACGGGUAGCCGGCCUGAGAGGGCGACCGGCCACACUGGGACUGAGACACGGCCCAGACUCCUACGGGAGGCAGCAGUGGGGAAUAUUGCACAAUGGGCGAAAGCCUGAUGCAGCGACGCCGCGUGAGGGAUGAAGGCCUUCGGGUUGUAAACCUCUUUCAGCAGGGAAGAAGCGCAAGUGACGGUACCUGCAGAAGAAGCGCCGGCUAACUACGUGCCAGCAGCCGCGGUAAUACGUAGGGCGCAAGCGUUGUCCGGAAUUAUUGGGCGUAAAGAGCUCGUAGGCGGUUUGUCGCGUCUGGUGUGAAAACUCGAGGCUCAACCUCGAGCUUGCAUCGGGUACGGGCAGACUAGAGUGCGGUAGGGGAGACUGGAAUUCCUGGUGUAGCGGUGGAAUGCGCAGAUAUCAGGAGGAACACCGAUGGCGAAGGCAGGUCUCUGGGCCGCAACUGACGCUGAGGAGCGAAAGCAUGGGGAGCGAACAGGAUUAGAUACCCUGGUAGUCCAUGCCGUAAACGUUGGGCACUAGGUGUGGGGCUCAUUCCACGAGUUCCGUGCCGCAGCAAACGCAUUAAGUGCCCCGCCUGGGGAGUACGGCCGCAAGGCUAAAACUCAAAGGAAUUGACGGGGGCCCGCACAAGCGGCGGAGCAUGCGGAUUAAUUCGAUGCAACGCGAAGAACCUUACCAAGGCUUGACAUGCACGAGAAGCCACCAGAGAUGGUGGUCUCUUUGGACACUCGUGCACAGGUGGUGCAUGGUUGUCGUCAGCUCGUGUCGUGAGAUGUUGGGGUUAAGUCCCGCAACGAGCGCAACCCUCGUCCCAUGUUUGCCGCGGGGUUAUGCCCGGGGAAUCCAGGGGAAAAUUGCCGGGGUCAACUCCGAAGAAAGGUGGGGGAUAGAAUUCAAAUCAUCCUGGCGCCUUAUUGUUUUGGGGUUUCCCCCAGGCUACAAAGAGCGCGGGACAAAAGGGUUGCGAAACCCUUAAGGUGGAGAGCAAAUCCUCCAAAAACCCGGCUCCACUUUCGGAGAUGGGGUUCGCAACCUCCGACCCCCCGAAGAUGCAGAUCCCCCUUUUAAUUCGAAGAUACACACAACCUCGCGUGA
rnacentral:rRNA from 1 species